AGAGAAAAUAAAGGCUAGCAGCCUCUUCAACUCUUUUUUUUAAUAUUACACAAGAAUGAAAUAACUCGGCCACAACAUUGUCAAAGAGAAAUAAUUUAUUCUCUUCUUAUCUAUUACUGAAUCUGCAGAUUGCUGUCACACCCACAGUGAUAAAUUGAUACCUAGUUCUCUGAUGGAAAGAAUUCAGGCAGAGAGAAUGAACUGCCUGUUAGGAGAGGAGCUCUUAUCUAGAUGUGGAGCCUCAGCUGAAAAUGAAUUAAUAACUUGUUGAGAAAAAAAAAAAAUAAAAAGCACUUCGGUUCUUACACAUCAAAAAGUUUUUUCAACAAGUGGAUCACAACUAAAGCUGAAGAUCAUCAAAAGGCAGCCACACAGCAUUGUGGAAGACUCUGUAUUUGAGGUUUGCCAAAGACCUCCUUGUGUGGUCUUGAGAUCCCCUGAACGCUGAUAAAAAUCAUUUUAAAACUGUGAUAAUAUCUAAUGUCUUUGUCUCUGGAAGUGCACUUAGUACUGAAAGGCAGAAAUGGAAAUCUUGAUCAUAAAAAUCUAGAAUGAGUAAAAUCUGGAUAAAAGAUACAAACUUUUGCUUGGUACCUGAUUUAAUUUUAAUUUCCAUGUAGUAUCAAUAAAAUAAAACUUUUAUCUCCAGCUUGACACAACAUAUUUUUGAGUGCAGUGAAGGCAUCCUAAUGGUAUGCUCUCACAAGCCCGUUAGCACAUCUUAAUUGUGUGUCAGUCAAAGGGCAGUGGCAGGAUGUGCUUGUGGUCCCAGCCCACGGCAAACAGGCAGCUGAACCAAUCCUCAUGGGUGACUGCUCACAAACCCAGCUUCUUUUGCAUUUGCAACAGGCCAGGAACAUGCCUGGAGCAGUCAGGCCCUACCAGAUCACUGAAAGCCAGUAAUAACUUGCAAUCAAGAAGGCAAAUGGAAUUAGAAAUUGAAGCCUGAAGAGCUACUGAUUCUUUCACCAGUGGAUUUAGGGGGGGAAAUGAUAAAAACAGAGUGGUGAUAGAGCUCUCAAGAUGUCACUGACUCACCUUGCACUGAAACUGUUCCCCACAGAGGGCUGUUUAUCCUGACUGCAGAUCCCAGUGAAGAAGAACCUGCAGUACCCCGUGGUCAUCUGAUGUCACUCAUUGACCAUACACUGCUAAGCAGAGUGUGGUGUUUGCUGAAAAGCACUCUCCAUUUGGUCAUUUGGCAUAAACUCACCAAGGGAGAUGAAUAAUUGGAUUAUUCAUUUGGGAAAUCGGCCACUAUGGAAACAAACACCCACCUCUCCUCCCCCUCCCUGCCCUGGGCGAGCUGCCCUCAGAACAUGCCAUAGCCAGAGGUUCCUCCCGAGCACAGUGACGUGCACUGGGAUGCACACAGGAGGGCUCUCCGCAGGGAAACCCGAGCAGGAUGGUCCAGAGGAAGGCACAGAUAAAGACUGAAUCUUCUUGCAAAGUGCAGAUCUUGGAUCUUCUUGCAAAGCCUCCAAGAGGCUCGAGAAAACAGGAUGAAAUGAACUGGUCACAUAGUAUUUUGAAAAUUGUGUGAGAAAAAUAUUAAAACAAUGGCAACAAGAAUAAAAAGUAUUUGUUCAUUCAUUUCAUUUCUUUAAAUGGGUGAAUUUGCAAGUCCAUUGCAGUCACUGACAAAAUUCCUGUUGAUGGUAACUAUGCCAGAAUUUCACCAACUGCACUUAUCCCCUAAAUGCGUGUUUUAGCAACUCACCAAAACUAAUGCAAUAAGACUUUUAAGUACAGCUCUUUCCACUGAGACACAUCACAACCCACCCAAAACUAUCUUCAAAGAGAUAAAGGUAAAUCUUUGUCAUUCCUUAAUUCAGGCUAUGUUUAAUUUCAAAAAUUAACUCUUGCAUGCUUAGCCAUGCAUGCUCAGGGUCCACAUAUAAUCCUUAGAAAUUACAUAACACUUCAUUUGAAGUGAACUUAAAUUAAAUGAGGAAAAAAUAACUCUUGCCUGUGGAUGAAAGUAAUUGUCAAUUCUCAGGUAAACAUUAUAUUGUCAGCCUGGCAUUUGAGACCCUUUGCACCAAGAUUCAUCAUGGAUCUGAACCCCUAAAUUUGGGUGUUGCUUAUUAAAAAUAAAAACUAUAAUAUCAUCUUAUAUUAACUCUCCAGUUACCUGUUUAGAAAUCAUUUUGGUGGAGAUGUCCCAAUGAGAAAAACAGAAAGAAUGACACUGUAAUCAAACACCAAAUCAUUAGCAGAGAGAAUGCAAAUACCAGCACACUUCUUUUAGGUCUUACAUGAAUCUAAAGAGCAGAAUAGCCUCAGCAUCUCCCAGACUGGAAGAGCAGCAAUUGCCUCUGAAAGCUGUUUAGAGCUGGUAUUUUUAUAUUCUUUACUGCACUGUAAUUAAAUGCUGUAACCAUUGGAAAGCAAGGUUACCAAUGCUGAACUGGAAAAGAGUUCUAUUUCUAUUGAAUUUUAUUUGGUUUUAUUUAAAAUUCCAUAAAUUAUUCAUUUUUCUAAUCCAACAAAGUGUUUACUUUUAUUUAAAUAUUUUAAAUUAGUUUUAUUUUUAUUGCCAUUUAAAGCAUGAGCCUGUUAAAGAUAGUGGGGUUUUAUGAUUAAAUUUUGUAAUUCAGCCUUUUAAAAAUUAUAUGCACAGCUCCAUACAUUUGGUAGAUUUGUCUUGAGACAUUUUCCUAGAAAACUCAGAAAUUUAUUAUUAAAGCUACUUCAUUUAUUUUUAGUGCUGUGGUCUUUAGACUGAUGGGAAUGGAGUUAAAAAUAGAUAAUUCCACAUUUCUUCUACAAUUUCAAUCUUUCACAGUUAUUGUAACAAUGACAAUUGGAUAUGUAAUGAAAUAUAAAGAAAUAUGCAAAAAAACCACAGAAACAUAUUUGCCCUAUGCAUUCACAAAUAGGUAGGGGAAGUCCAGAUACCAAACCCACCUGUCUUGCCAGCAUCCAUUUAGAUAUAAAUAUCUACUUUUUUUCAUGGUGGUUCCAUCAGAACAGAUUAGCAUAUAUCCCUUGGGAGAGCAGGGUUAUAAACUGCAGUCGUAUUCCUGUCUAUGAAACCUCUGAAUAAUGCAUGUAAUUUGUGACUCAUAUGCCAAGAAUCCCAAUUCAAUGUACCUAUCAGCAGUACUAAGUGUUCUAAUCUUUUUUAAUAAAUGAAUGAAAUGUUAUUAGUCAGUAAUUUAACAGUUAUAAGAUUCUCAAAAGCACAAAAAUUUUAUACAUACAUUUUUAUAUAUAUUUUUAUAGAUUUUUUUAUCUAUAUAUAUAAACGUGUAGAAAUGGAGGACUCAGUGGGGCAGAGUCUGAAAAUCCUUCCCUAACCUUGUGCAUGUGGCUAAUUUUUCUGCUCCUCAGUUUUUCAGGUACAAUAAGCUCAUCAUCAUUCUCUGCCUUGGAGAAGUGUUGUGAUGACAAAACAUGUUUAUUUGAGAGAUUUGCAUGUACAAUGAUGAAGGCAGCCAUAAAAAUAAGUAGGCAGAUAGAAGUGAUUCACUGGCUGAAAUAAAAUGAUGCUUGUUAAAUUAAUUUCAAAUUUUGUAUUCUUGUCUGUGUAUAGAGACCUAUGGUAUGGGAAAUAAACCAUGGCUUUACUGCUGAGGAGUUGACCUGAAAAGAAAUAAUUGACAUCUUUUUCUGACUUCCAUUUUUCUGCUCAUCUUCUUUGAUCUCAAUCACUUGACUUAAUUUUUCCAUGUCCCUUUGGAAAUUUUGAAAUUGUUUCCACCCCAUCCUCUCCUCCCAAACGAAAUGUCUGGAGAGAUGUGUGGGCACGGGCUGCUCAGAGAGCUGGGUGUAGAGCAGGAUGGAGCAGGACAAGGCUGUGAGCCUUGGGAGGAGCAGGGCUGUGCCCCA